rnacentral:rRNA from 1 species
AAACCAGCACCUCAAGUGGUCAGGAGGAUUAUUGGGCCUAAAGCAUCCGUAGCCUGUUCUGUAAGUUUUCGGUUAAAUCCAUUAGCUCAACUAAUGGGCUGCCGAAAAUACUGCAGAACUAGGGAGUGGGAGAGGUAAACGGUAUUCGGUAGGAAGGGGUAAAAUCCUUUGAUCUAUUGAGGACCACCUGUGGCGAAGGCGGUCUACCAGAACACGUUCGACGGUGAGGGAUGAAAGCUGGGGGAGCAAACCGGAUUAGAAACCCCAGUAGUCC